UGGGGAAUAUUGCACAAUGGGGGAAACCCUGAUGCAGCGACGCCGCGUGAACGAAGAAGGUAUUCGUAUCGUAAAGUUCUGUCCUAUGGGAAGAUAAUGACAGUACCAUAGAAGAAAGCUCCGGCUAAAUACGUGCCAGCAGCCGCGGUAAUACGUAUGGAGCGAGCGUUGUCCGGAAUUAUUGGGCGUAAAGGGUACGCAGGCGGUUUAAUAAGUCGAAUGUUAAAGAUCGGGGCUCAACCCCGUAAAGCAUUGGAAACUGAUAAACUUGAGUAGUGUAGAGGAAAGUGGAAUUCCUAGUGUAGUGGUGAAAUACGUAGAUAUUAGGAGGAAUACCAGUAGCGAACGCGACUUUCUGGACACAAACUGACGCUGAGGUACGAAAGCGUGGGGAGCAAACAGG
rnacentral:rRNA from 1 species